UAUAUAUAUAUAUAUAUAUAUAUAUAUGAAAAAAAUGUCGAAUACUAAUUUCCAUAACAAUUUGGGUCACUGUUAGAUUUGUGACGGACAUGGAAGCUUAAAUCAUGAUUCUGGGCUAAGCAACAAAAAAGCAAAAUAAAUGUCAGAGACACAACUUUUCAGGCAAGAAGUCAAAAAGUUAAACAGGGAAAAGGUUAAAAAAAAAACACUUGCAGAUGUUUCGUCCAUUCUUCUCAAAUAAUCGCUCUAUUUACGAUUUUUAGUGCGUGAUAUUUACGAUUAAUUCGAGGGUAUUGUAAUAACACUUUAGUGAAAAAUAACACAUAUUCCAUUUUUUCUGUGAGGUGGCGGUCCAACAAAUGACAUGCGAAACCAUAAACGCCUCACCAAAAAAAAAAACACUCAUGAACGAGCGAGUGGCCACCCCUUUUUCAGAGACUGGCGCAUUUACGGUCCCAUUUAUUUUUCUUUUUCUUUUUUUGUGGUUGAUUUUUCCAAUGUAGGAGCACUAAACCGAUUGUAAUUACGAAUAAAAAUUCCUGAUUUUCCGUUAUA